GCAGUCGAGCGGAGUGAUGGUGCUUGCACUAUCACUUAGCGGCGGACGGGUGAGUAAUGCUUAGGAAUCUGCCUAUUAGUGGGGGACAACAUCUCGAAAGGGAUGCUAAUACCGCAUACGUCCUACGGGAGAAAGCAGGGGAUCACUUGUGACCUUGCGCUAAUAGAUGAGCCUAAGUCGGAUUAGCUAGUUGGUGGGGUAAAGGCCUACCAAGGCGACGAUCUGUAGCGGGUCUGAGAGGAUGAUCCGCCACACUGGGACUGAGACACGGCCCAGACUCCUACGGGAGGCAGCAGUGGGGAAUAUUGGACAAUGGGGGGAACCCUGAUCCAGCCAUGCCGCGUGUGUGAAGAAGGCCUUAUGGUUGUAAAGCACUUUAAGCGAGGAGGAGGCUCUUUUGGUUAAUACCCAGAAUGAGUGGACGUUACUCGCAGAAUAAGCACCGGCUAACUCUGUGCCAGCAGCCGCGGUAAUACAGAGGGUGCAAGCGUUAAUCGGAUUUACUGGGCGUAAAGCGCGCGUAGGCGGCCAAUUAAGUCAAAUGUGAAAUCCCCGAGCUUAACUUGGGAAUUGCAUUCGAUACUGGUUGGCUAGAGUGUGGGAGAGGAUGGUAGAAUUCCAGGUGUAGCGGUGAAAUGCGUAGAGAUCUGGAGGAAUACCGAUGGCGAAGGCAGCCAUCUGGCCUAACACUGACGCUGAGGUGCGAAAGCAUGGGGAGCAAACAGGAUUAGAUACCCUGGUAGUCCAUGCCGUAAACGAUGUCUACUAGCCGUUGGGGCCUUUGAGGCUUUAGUGGCGCAGCUAACGCGAUAAGUAGACCGCCUGGGGAGUACGGUCGCAAGACUAAAACUCAAAUGAAUUGACGGGGGCCCGCACAAGCGGUGGAGCAUGUGGUUUAAUUCGAUGCAACGCGAAGAACCUUACCUGGCCUUGACAUAGUAGAAACUUUCCAGAGAUGGAUUGGUGCCUUCGGGAAUCUACAUACAGGUGCUGCAUGGCUGUCGUCAGCUCGUGUCGUGAGAUGUUGGGUUAAGUCCCGCAACGAGCGCAACCCUUUUCCUUACUUGCCAGCAUUUCGGAUGGGAACUUUAAGGAUACUGCCAGUGACAAACUGGAGGAAGGCGGGGACGACGUCAAGUCAUCAUGGCCCUUACGGCCAGGGCUACACACGUGCUACAAUGGUCGGUACAAAGGGUUGCUACCUAGCGAUAGGAUGCUAAUCUCAAAAAGCCGAUCGUAGUCCGGAUUGGAGUCUGCAACUCGACU
rnacentral:rRNA from 1 species